rnacentral:lncRNA from 1 species
CCUGGUUUCCUUCUAACUUACCAACAUUCCUUCACAGUCUCUUUUGCUGACUCAUUAUCCUCUAUCUUUAAUAAGAGGUUUUUCAGGGCCCUUUUAUUUUCUCACUAUACUCUUUUCCUUGGCCAUUGCCUCUUCAACCAUGACUUCUAUUACAAUAGGAAUGUCAAUCACUUUCACCUGUCUUCAAUUUAGAUCUUUCCUCUAACACCCGGAUAUGUAAUUCAACUCUUAACUUGAUAUCUCACUUGGAAGAGUUACAAGCCUCUCUGAAAAAAAUCCAUACAGGAUGGAAUGCAUGGCAUUUUCUCUGAAACUUCCUCCCUGUCCAGUGUUAUCUACCUUGGAACGAUUGUCUCAUUUAGAGGGACUCUCUAACCUGAGUACACAUUUGAAACAUCUGAGGGCUUUGAAACAUACCUGCUCCUGGACCACCUGCUGAACCAAUUAAAUCAGAAUUUCUGUUGUGAAGAUCUCCACGUGAGUUUAAGCUUUCCUGCUCAACUGUUAGUUCCAUGAAGGCAACAGCCAUGCCUGCUUCGUUCACUGAAAUAUCUUCGUUUCCUAACACACAGAAAGUCAUCAUUUUUUGACGGAUGAAAGAAUGGAUGAAUGCCUAGUCUUGGAGACAUCUACUUGCAAUAAAGGUGAAGAAACAGAGGCAAAGGGAGCAUAAGCAAUUUUCCAAAGGCCAUACAACAUGUAAGUGGCUGAGCCAAGACUGAAAUCACCAGGUUCUUAACCACUAGGCCAUAUUGCAUUGGAGUGUUGCCUCCUGGAGUAAGACUAGGCUAAAAGCUUCAUAGAAACCUAAAGGAGUUAGAGAAGGAAGAUCUCUCAAUGGAAAUGCUAAGAAGAGACACAAGGAAAGACACAUCACUAAGGAGAGACCCAAGGAAAAUGGCUCUAUGACUACAGUCCAUUUAAAGAAUGAGGGCGUUCCUUCUACCAAGUUACAGGUGGAGAUGUGUUUACCUGCUGGAUACCAAUGCUUCUAGCAUCAGGGAGAAGUUGAGCCCUGGAGGAAACAUUGCCUCUAAGUUUGUGUUCUGGUGCUACAUACUGCAAAGCAAAGUAUCUACAACAACUGCAAUAAGCCACCCUGAUCAUUCUUCAACCUAAAGAUUUGCAACUCAUCCAAGUUCAACUGGUUGAAAGAGCCUGCCUCCUCACAGCAGUGCCUGAUUGACACUAUGAACUGAAAUACUAAAGGCACUUCUUCUUUCAGGAUAACUGAUUAAAUGUUCUGGCUGGUAAAGCAGGUCAUCACUCAACUGUUGUGGCUUUGGCAAGAUGCCACCAAAGCAGCCCAUCAUGGUUGGCAGAGAUGUAAAGGCCCCACAUAUUACAGAACACCCUUUGAUAUGCAGACUAAUUAAUAGAAGACCUAAGCCUUUCAAGGGACUUCUAUACCAUAGGAUGUUAGGAGACAUCAAGAACACAAAUGAAACUAAGAUUUUCAUACAGGGUUCAGGUUUUGUUACUUCAGAUCUAUAAUCUAAAGUUCUGUAAUCAUCACAUCACUCCAAGAACAAAAUUUGAUAGGCAAAAUUCUUCACACUCAUUUCAUGGAGAACCUUGAGGGUCCAGAGUGAGGCUUGAUGGCAAGCAGGAGCUCCCUGUCCCCUGUCUCCACCCAUGCAACCCCUAGCUCCCCCAUUGUUUUCACUCUAGAUUUGUGAAGUAUAACAACCUUAAAAUCUUAAGAUUUAAUCUUUAAAUAUUAAGAGAUUUGGGUUUCUGUAUCAACAAUCUUUAAAUAUUAAGAGAUUUUUCCGAAGAUUAAUGACUUUCCUAGAGUUGGCCUACAAAUUCACCACCUCAACUGGAUGACUUGCUUUGGAAUAAAUUUCUAACACCGCAAGUGAAUUGAAUAUUUUCUUCCUUUUUUAUGUAAUCUAAUAUAGUACAUUUUUAAAAAUUUAUAGGAUGUCCAGACACUUAUAGCUUAUCAUUCUAUGAUUCAAAAGAAUUUGGUAUAAUUGCAUUGAUAAGCUUACUGCCCUGGGCACCAAAGUAACCUAGAAUAUGGAGAAGUAGCUUUUGGUGACAUGCAUCUAUUUAUAUCUCUAGCAUUUACUAAUUAAUUAAUUUGUUUAACAAAUACACAUUCAGUACCAUUAUAUGUUUGGCAUUGUCAUAGAUGUUAGAAAAUCAAAUAUAAAAAAGAGGUAAUUUCUUCACAACACACGGAAAUAAGAGUAUCUCUAGGAAUUGUCUCUAGUUGAAAUUGUUUUCUCCUACCCACCUCUACGAUUCAUCAAUUUAGCUUUCCUUCACUGUAGUGACAGGUGUUUUAAUCUCACCUAACAAUAUGCCUGAUUAAGCUUCAACAUACACAGAGAGAGGCCUGAAAAACAUAACUUGGUCUCUAUGUCUAAGUUUAUGUUGUUAGUAAUAGUUAUAAGAGCCACAGCGAUGGCACCAUGGCGUUACCUUCUCUGAAGGCUUUCCCAGCUUUCCUAGCAAAGCUCUUUUCUCUUCCCUCUGGUUAAAAAAUAAAUAAAAAAAAAAUAAAGGUUUUUCCUUUAUUGUUAUUCUUAUGUGUCUGAUUUUAUCACAUUUAUUGUUUUGUUUUCUGAUUGUAUAAGUCAUACAUGCUCAUUUAGAAAACUUGGAAACUAUGGAAAAAGAGAAAUAAAAAAUAAAAUCCACUCUAAUCUACCUUGUUUCUAUCUCUAAGGUAGCAUUCGUCACUUUGGUAUGAAGUUGAUGUGAGUAGAUCUGUCUAAUCAACUAAAUUUGGAGCUUCUCCUGAGAAGAACGCAUGUAUUCAGCUCUGUAUUCCAGCUGUAGGAAGUGUGUGAUGUAUUGGAAACAUCCCAUAAUUUUGAAUAAGAGCAGCAUCAAGUACACAGAGGACUGCUGGACCUAGAACGAC